UACGGAGGGGGCUAGCGUUGUUCCGGAAUUACUGGGCGUAAAGCGCACGUAGGCGGACCAUCAAGUUGGGGGUGAAAUCCCGGGGCUCAACCCCGGAACUGCCUCCAAAACUGCUGGUCUGGAGGUCGAGAGAGGUGAGUGGAAUUCCGAGUGUAGAGGUGAAAUUCGUAGAUAUUCGGAGGAACACCAGUGGCGAAGGCGGCUCACUGGCUCGAUACUGACGCUGAGGUGCGAAAGCGUGGGGAGCAAACAGG
rnacentral:rRNA from 1 species